rnacentral:rRNA from 1 species
CAAUAGCGUAUGUUAAAGUUGUUGCGGUUAAAAAGCUCGUAGUUGGAUUUCUGCUGAGAACGACCGGUCCGCCCUCUGGGUGUGUAUCUGGCUCUUUCUUGGCAUCUUCUUGGUGAACGUUGCUGCACUUGACUGUGUGGAGCGCUACCCAGGACUUUUACUUUGAGGAAAUUAGAGUGUUUCAAGCAGGCAUACGCCUUGAAUACAUUAGCAUGGAAUAAUAAGAUAGGACCUCGGUUCUAUUUUGUUGGUUUCUAGAGCUGAGGUAAUGAUUAAUAGGGAUAGUUGGGGGCAUUCGUAUUUAACUGUCAGAGGUGAAAUUCUUGGAUUUGUUAAAGACGGACUACUGCGAANGNAUUUGCNAAGGAUGUUUNCAUUG